rnacentral:rRNA from 1 species
GAUCCUGGCUCAGGAUGAACGCUAGCUACAGGCUUAACACAUGCAAGUCGAGGGGCAGCAUGACCUAGCAAUAGGUUGAUGGCGACCGGCGCACGGGUGAGUAACACGUAUCCAACCUACCGGUUAUUCCGGGAUAGCCUUUCGAAAGAAAGAUUAAUACCGGAUAGUAUAACGAGAAGGCAUCUUUUUGUUAUUAAAGAAUUUCGAUAACCGAUGGGGAUGCGUUCCAUUAGUUUGUUGGCGGGGUAACGGCCCACAAG